rnacentral:misc_RNA from 1 species
GAAAUGCGAUACGUAGUGUGAAUUGCAGAAUUCCGUGAACCAUCGAAUCUUUGAAUGCAUAUUGCGCCUGGUGCCCCAUUUGGUGGCUCCAGACAUGUCUGCCUCAGCGUCGUGAUGGACCCUUGUCCCUUCUUAAUUUAUUUUAAGUUGGCACAGAUCUGGCAGUCUCAAAGGCUUUUAAUUUAUUAAACAGCCUCUGGGUCUGCUGAAGCUCAUUGACUCCAAACUAAGGACCCAUUCCAAAGGGACAAUAGCUGGUUAGGCUUUUCAAGCUACUUGCUAGUGUCCUGGGCCCUUUAAAACUUUUGUGAGUCUGCAGGAAAAACAAUCAUCUUUUGACCUGAGUUUAGGCAAGGCUACCCGCUGAACUUAA